CGCCGCGUGGAGGAUGAAGCCCUUCGGGGUGUAAACUCCUUUUCUGGGGGAAGAAACCCCGACUCUGGUCGGGGCUGACGGUACCCCAGGAAUAAGCGCCGGCUAACUCCGUGCCAGCAGCCGCGGUAAUACGGAGGGCGCAAGCGUUGCCCGGAAUCACUGGGUGUAAAGGGUGCGUAGGCGGGGCUGUAAGUCAGAGGUGAAAGCCCUCGGCUCAACCGAGGAAUUGCCUCUGAUACUGCAGCUCUUGAGUCCCGGAGAGGCCGCUGGAAUUCCUGGUGUAGCGGUGAAAUGCGUAGAUAUCAGGAGGAACACCGGAGGCGAAGGCGGGCGGCUGGACGGGGACUGACGCUGAGGCACGAAAGCGUGGGGAGCAAACAGGAUUAGAUACCCUGGUAGUCCACGCCGUAAACGAUGGAUGCUCGGCGUUGCCGCCUUCGGGCGGCAGUGCCUAAGCUAACGCGGUAAGCAUCCCACCUGG
rnacentral:rRNA from 1 species